rnacentral:rRNA from 1 species
UACAGAGGGUGCAAACGUUGUUCGGAAUUACUGGGCGUAAAGCGUGUGUAGGCGGUUUGGUAAGUCGGACGUGAAAGCCCCGGGCUCAACUCGGGAAGUGCGCUCGAUACUGCCAGACUUGAGUGUCGGAGAGGUUGGUAGAAUUCUCGGUGUAGAGGUGAAAUUCGUAGAUAUCGAGAGGAAUACCGGCGGCGAAGGCGGCCAACUGGACGAACACUGACGCUGAGACACGAAAGCGUGGGGAGCAAACAGG